rnacentral:rRNA from 1 species
UACGUAGGGGGCUAGCGUUGUCCGGAAUCAUUGGGCGUAAAGCGCGCGUAGGUGGCCAUGUAAGUCCGCUGUGAAAGUCCAGGGCUCAACCCUGGGAUGCCGGUGGAUACUGUCGGGCUCGAGUCCGGAAGAGGAGAGUGGAAUUCCUGGUGUAGCGGUGAAAUGCGCAGAUAUCAGGAAGAACACCCGUGGCGAAGGCGGCUCUCUGGGACGUGACUGACGCUGAGACGCGAAAAGCGUGGGGGAGCGAACAGG